rnacentral:rRNA from 1 species
CAGCCGCCGCGGGAAUACGAAGGGUGCAAGCGUUACUCGGAAUUACUGGGCGUAAAGCGUGCGUAGGUGGUGGUUUAAGUCCGUUGUGAAAGCCCUGGGCUCAACCUGGGAAUUGCAGUGGAUACUGGAUCACUAGAGUGUGGUAGAGGAUAGUGGAAUUUCCGGUGUAGCAGUGAAAUGCGUGGAGAUCGGAAGGAACAUCUGUGGCGAAGGCGACUAUCUGGGCCAACACUGACACUGAGGCACGAAAGCGUGGGGAGCAAACAGGAUUAGAUACCCCAGUAGUCCCUGUCUCUUAUAC